rnacentral:rRNA from 1 species
AUUGAACGCUGGCGGCAGGCCUAACACAUGCAAGUCGAGCGAGCGGCGGACGGGUGAGUAAUGUAUGGGGAACUGCCUGAUAGAGGGGGAUCACUACUGGAAACGGUGGCUAAUACCGCAUACUAUCGGAUGAACCCAGAUGGGAUUAGCUAGUAGGUGGGGGAAAGGCUCACCUAGGCGACGAUCCCUAGCUGGUCUGAGAGGAUGACCGGCCAAACUGGGACGGAGACACGGCCCAGACUCCUACGGGAGGCAGCAGUGGGGAAUAUUGCACAAUGGGCGAAAGCCUGAUGCAGCCAUGCCGCGUGUGUGAAGAAGGCCUUCGGGUUGUAAAGUACUUUCAGCGGGGAGGCGUUACCCGCAGAAGAAGCACCGGCUAACUCCGUGCCAGCAGCCGCGGUAAUUC